GAUGAACGCUGGCGGCGUGCUUCCCUUUUGCAAGUCGAACGAACCUUCGGGUUAGUGGCGGACGGGUGAGUAACGCGUGAGAAUCUGCCCUCAGGAGGGGGAUAACGGCUGGAAACGGCCGCUAAUACCCCAUAUGCCGAGAGGUGAAAUGAAUUUCGCCUGAGGAUGAGCUCGCGUCUGAUUAGCUAGUUGGUGGGGUAAAGGCCUACCAAGGCUUCAAUCAGUAGCUGGUCUGAGAGGAUGAUCAGCCACACUGGGACUGAGACACGGCCCAAACUCCUACGGGAGGCAGCAGUGGGGAAUUUUCCGCAAUGGGCGAAAGCCUGACGGAGCAACGCCGCGUGAGGGAUGAAGGCCUCUGGGCUGUAAACCUCUUUUAUCAAGGAAGAAAAUCUGACGGUACUUGAUGAAUAAGCCACGGCUAAUUCCGUG
rnacentral:rRNA from 1 species